GACAGGCCCCGGGCUGGGGGUCUGCUUUUCUCCUGAACGUAAGGCGCGCAUCCUUCUAGCAGCUGACUACACGUCUCCUUUGAGCUCUGGCCCUGCCCCAGGGGAUGUCCUUUCAUGAAGACUCAUUUUCCCAAGGUGGCAUUUCUGGAAACGCCAUAUUUUAGAAGAAUAUGAGAAUUUCCUCUUUAUGGCCACCUGGCCUGUGAGAUGAAGACUUCCUGCAGUUUCAAUCUCUCUCGUCAGAUCCGGGGGUAAAUAGGCUUCAGUCACCCCUGACAAUGGCGUGAGGAACAGCCCCUCCGUAGGAUGGAGCGGCAUUGAUUUUUCAUAAAAGUUUAAUAAGAUGCUACAGGUCAAAAGCUUUGCAAAGUUUGCUAUAAAUUUUAGUGAGGAACUGAGCAAGAUGUAAUUGGAUGAGAAAAUGGAAAUGAAACUUGGAUCAGGGCAGCAGCGCGGAUGGGGGACAGAGACGAGGAGGCCCUCCUACCCUCCCCCUGACCUUCAGGAACGAGGCUCAGGCCUGGCCACUGACCACCUAGAGCACCUGUUACCCCCCGGUUACCUGCAUGUCAGUCACAUCGCUCCGGCUCACUCGAGGGGCACCCGUCCCAUAGGACCCCCAGUGUGCUUUGCAACGAACUUGAUUUCCAGGUUGUACCUUCUGGUUAUGUUUGUUUAAUCCCAGAGUAAAGAACAGUAUAAAUU
ensembl:lncRNA